rnacentral:lncRNA from 1 species
AUUUUCCAUAAACGGUUGAGAUUUGUUCUUUAUAACUAGAUGCUCACCGGUCCUCGAGACCCGAUUCUCGGGUUUUGCAAUACCCAAGAACUUGUCCCAAUUUGUUUACCCUUCCAAGUGCACCCUAAGAAACUCGGGCUCGACAAAAAGCUGUCUCUGGAUAUCGAAACUGAAAAAAUUUCUCCCCAGGUACCCCAAUCAUUAGCCAUUGGCCACAAAGUUUGGUCAAACGGGCAUUCCCGUUACACAUGUAGCAGAGUGAGUACCACAAACACCUGCAUAUAUUUUCUGCUAGAAGCAGAAUUGCAGUUCUCGUGUCUGCUUAUGAUGAACCGCUCGAUGUGCAGGGACAGGACGCCAAAUUUGUUCUGCCCUGUGGAGAAC